rnacentral:rRNA from 1 species
CCUACGGGAGACAGCAGUGGGGAAUAUUGGGCAAUGGGCGCAAGCCUGACCCAGCAACGCCGCGUGAAGGAAGAAGGCUUUCGGGUUGUAAACUUCUUUUCUCAGGGACGAAGCAAGUGACGGUACCUGAGGAAUAAGCCACGGCUAACUACGUGCCAGCAGCCGCGGUAAUACGUAGGUGGCAAGCGUUAUCCGGAUUUACUGGGUGUAAAGGGCGUGUAGGCGGGACUGCAAGUCAGAUGUGAAAACCAUGGGCUCAACCUAUGGCCUGCAUUUGAAACUGUCGUUCUUGAGUACUGGAGAGGCAGACGGAAUGCCUGGUGUAGCGGUGAAAUGCGUAGAUAUUAGGAGGAACACCAGUGGCGAAGGCGGUCCGCUGGCCAGCAACUGACGCUGAGGCGCGAAAGCGUGGGGAGCAAACAGGAUUAGAUACCCUGGUAGUC